GAUGAACGCUAGCGGCAGGCUUAACACAUGCAAGUCGAGGGGCAGCAUGAGACGGAGAUUCGUCGAAGUCUUGAUGGCGACCGGCGCAAGGGUGCGUAACGCGUGAGCAACUUGCCCGUUUCUGGGGAAUAACCGGUGGAAACGCCGACUAAUACCCCAUAGUAUCAGAUUUAGGCAUCUUUAUCUGAUUAAAGAAUUUCGGAAACGGAUAGGCUCGCGUGACAUUAGCUAGAUGGCGGGGUAACGGCCCACCAUGGCUACGAUGUCUAGGGGUUCUGAGAGGAAGGUCCCCCACACUGGAACUGAGACACGGUCCAGACUCCUACGGGAGGCAGCAGUGAGGAAUAUUGGUCAAUGGUCUGACGACUGAACCAGCCAUGCCGCGUGAAGGUCACGGCCCUAUGGGUCUUAAACUUCUUUUGCAAGGGAGCAAUAAGGCGUACGUGUACGUCGAUGAGAGUACCUUGCGAAUAAGCAUCGGCUAACUCCGUGCCAG
rnacentral:rRNA from 1 species